CAGUGUAUUCCCAUAUAGUGGAGUCUGGAGAGGGUAAAGUGUACGCAGACCAUACCACUACCUUAGGUGAAGUAGAGAGACUAUUUUCGAUAGACCCCUAGCUUAGAACCGAUAACAGUAUAACAAACACAAAAGAUAAGUGUAAAAUAAACUAACAUCGCUAGAAACAAGAUAAUACUACCACCACAAGAUAAAAAAAAGAUCUAACGUAAAUGAUAUACAUCACACAACACCAUGCAUAAAAAACUAUAGACACAAAAGAACGCUCCCUUAUUGUUACCAACGCACUCUCACCCCCUAACCCUCUACCCUAAUCCA
rnacentral:lncRNA from 1 species